rnacentral:rRNA from 1 species
CCUACGGGAGGCAGCAGUGAGGAAUAUUGGUCAAUGGGCGCGAGCCUGAACCAGCCAAGUAGCGUGAAGGAUGACUGUCCUACGGGUUGUAAACUUCUUUUAUCAAGGAAUAAAGUGAGGCACGCGUGCCUUUUUGUAUGUACUUUAUGAAUAAGGAUCGGCUAACUCCGUGCCAGCAGCCGCGGUAAUACGGAGGAUCCGAGCGUUAUCCGGAUUUAUUGGGUUUAAAGGGAGCGUAGAUGGGUUGUUAAGUCAGUUGUGAAAGUUUGCGGCUCAACCGUAAAAUUGCAGUUGAUACUGGCAGUCUUGAGUAGGGGUGAGGUAGGCGGAAUGCGUGGUGUAGCGGUGAAAUGCUUAGAUAUCACGAAGAACUCCGAUUGCGAAGGCAGCUUGCUAAACUGCCACUGACGUUGAGGCUCGAAAGUGUGGGUAUCGAACAGGAUUAGAUACCCGGGUAGUC